rnacentral:rRNA from 1 species
UACGGAGGGUGCUAGCGUUGUUCGGAAUCACUGGGCGUAAAGGGCGUGUAGGCGGUCUGUUAAGUCUGACGUGAAAUCCCCUCGCUCAACGAGGGAACUGCGUCGGAUACUGGCAGACUCGAGUACCGGAGAGGAAGGUGGAAUUCCACGUGUAGCGGUGAAAUGCGUAGAGAUGUGGAGGAACACCGAUGGCGAAGGCAGCCUCCUGGGCCAAUACUGACGCUCAUGCACGAAAGCGUGGGGAGCAAACAGG